rnacentral:rRNA from 1 species
UACGUAGGGUGCGAGCGUUAAUCGGAAUUACUGGGCGUCAAGCGUGCGCAGGCGGUUUUGUAAGCCAGAUGUGAAAGCCCCGGGCUUAACCUGGGAAUGGCAUUUGGGACUGCAAGGCUUGAGUGCGGCAGAGGAGACUGGAAUUCCUGGUGUAGCAGUGAAAUGCGUAGAUAUCAGGAGGAAUACCGAUGGCGAAGGCAGGUCUCUGGGCUGACACUGACGCUCAUGCACGAAAGCGUGGGGAGCAAACAGG